rnacentral:lncRNA from 1 species
GUCGACGCAAAAUGAUGAUGUCUCCUUUACUGAACUUAAGAUCUCCGGGUUCUUUUCCCUCAUAGUUGUACAAUGCUUUGGCACAUGGUAACUGAGGUACACCCCUAACAGGAGGGCUCCGCGCUUGCACCCUUUGCUGUUGUCCAGCCUGAGAGCUCUGCAGGUCCUUGGAUCCGCAAUUAGCGACAGUGGUGAUGGGGACCCUUAAAGUAUUUGCACCCCCCGUCCCACCAGCAGUGCCGGGCUUCCGCGGCCGCUGCUUGAUGCCAUCCAGUAGUCUAACAAGCAAAAUGUUGCUUGGAAGUUCAUCAACACCGCAGUCCACUAAAGUCCUGCACUCCG